rnacentral:lncRNA from 1 species
UCCCACUGCAUUGUCAUCUUGAAGAUUUGUCACACUUUGAGAGAAAAACUUGUUGCCAUGACAAUGGGCUCAGAGGCUGAAAAGAAGACUUCAACCACUGUCAGCAGCAUCAUUGUGGUGGCCAAGUGGAUCAUCCCCAGAGUAGAUGAUGUUGUGAAAUCAGUGUACCAUCUGUUAAGCACCAAGCUCCUGGAUGCUCCAUCAGCAGAGAGCAGAGAAGAGAAGCAACUGGAUAUCCAAGAGAAGCAGCUUGACUUCAAAGAGACAACUUGACAACGUGGCUUCAGAGAGGAGUCUGGCCAAGGACUGCUGAACUCCAGGGGAGGAUUGCCCUCCCACUCCAUCUGCUUUCCAGCUCCCCUCCCCACAGAGAGCCAUUUUCAUCAGCAAUAAAAUCCUCCACAUUCACCACCCUCC